GGACGCUACAGAUUUCCAGCGUUUUGAAAUUUGACACUGAAAGCGUUUAAGUAAAAACGGAAGAUACCAGACACGUAACAUGUUGGAGGGACUCAGCAGCCCAGGAAACAUCUAUGGAGAGAAAUAAAUAGUCAACAUUGUGGCCUUGACCGUUUAUCAGGACUGGAAAGGAAGAGGGCAGAGAAGAGAAGGAGGAGUACCAGUGGGCAGGGACGUACACUCAGAAGCACCAUCAUCCACAGAAAGAUCAGGCUAAUGUGCCUUUGCGGUUUUGCCAUGUUGUAGAAGCCUUUGAUCACACGCAGUUGAAAGGACAGAGCCAUCCUUUUCUCAUACUGACGAAUUAUUGUAUCCUCAUUUAUAUUAAUUCAAAUACAGUGCAGAGAAUCCUCAUCCAGCAAUCCUCCAAUAAUACUCACAGAGAAUGGUGCGAGAAACAAAAAACAUCCAAUGAGCCACCGUUCUGUGGGUGAAAAUGCCUUGGUUAAUGAGAGAGGUCAGUCUCAUUCAAGCUGACAGGAAGGUGACAGUAACUCAAAUAGCCACAUGUUACAACGGUGGUGUGCAGAAGAGAAUCUCUGAAUGCACAACAUGUCAAAUCUUGAAGUGGAUGGGCUACAGCAGCAGAAGACCACGGAUAUACACUCAGUGGCCACUUUAUUAGGUACAGGAGGUACCUUAAUCUGUCAAUUUAAUCCCUCAAUAUAUCCCUCUUAAUCCCUCAAACCUGUUCUGCUGUACGUCAAUCAAUAAUUCAGUGCCUGAACUCCUCUCUUUGGCUUGAAUACAUCGGUCAGUUGGUUGCACAUUGAUGUUCGAUUGUAAGUACACAUUUCCUGUCUGGAUGCAUAAUGGCUUGGUGUGGCAGCUGCUCUGGAUGUAACCACAUAAACUGCAGAGAGCUGUGGACACAGCUCAUCGCAUCACGGAAACCAGCCUGCUCUGCAUGGACUCUGUCUGCACUUCUCAUUGUCCCAGUAAAGCAGCCAGCAUAAUCACAGACCCUUCCCACCCCAGACAUCCUCUCUUCUCCUCUUUUCCAGUAGGCAGAAGAUUCAAAACUGCCCACCAGGCUUAAGGACAGCUUCUAUCCCACUGUUAUCAGUCUGUUGAAUGUUCCCUGGGGUGGACUCUUGCCCUCGCCAUCUACCUAUUAUUGGCUACCUGCAUUCCCCUUUCUCUGUAACUGCUACACCUGUUACUGUUUUACCUUGUUCUACCUCAAUGCACUGUAUAAUAUGCAAAACAAGCUUUUCGCUGUAUCAUAGCCACUGAGUCACAGAAAAGUACAGCACAGAAACAGGCCCUUUGGCCCAUCUAGUCUGUGACAGGCCAUUUAAACUGCCUACUCCCAUCGACCACAGCCCAUCAUACUCCUACCAUCCACAAACCUAUCCAAACUUCCCUUAAAUGUUAAAAUGGAGCUUGCAUGCACCACUUGCACUGGCAGCUCGUUCCACACUCAGACAAUGCUCUGAGUGAAGCAGUUUCCCCUCACGUUCCCCUUAAACUUUUCAUCUUUCACCCUUAACCCAUGACCUCUAGUCGUAAUCUCACCCAACUAGAAAUCUUGGUAGGUGUGAUAUGAAUAAACCAAUACAGUAAUAAAAUCAAUAUAUCAUGACUAACUUUACAAUGUGUGCUGUGUUCAAAUGUACAUGAAAUGAAAAAAUAUACUUAGUAAUUUGUUCAACCUGUUUUGUAUAAAGUGUGAAAUUUAAUCCAAUGUACUGCUUAUAUAGAGUUUUGGAAGACCCCUUGGAAAUUCUGGAUAUAUUAAAUAGCAGAAAUAAACAUAUAAGGAAUGUUUUUUUUUAAUCUUGGGUCAUCAAUCAUCCAUUUGUAUUAAUCCUGCAUUAACCCAUUUUUUUUUUAAAACCAGAUUCAGUAACACUUGCAAGGGUGUGAGAAACCAUUGAGAUUGGUCUAUUGAACCAGAGGGAAUAAUUUCACUCAACUUCACUUGCCACAUCAGUGAACUGUUCCCACAGCCUAUGGAACAUACACAAAAUGCUGGAGGAACUCAGCAGGCCAGGCAGCAUCUGUGGAAAAGAGGGAGUAGUUGACAUUUUGGGCUGAGACCCAGUCUGUUCUGAUGAAGGGUCUCAGUCCAAAACAUUGACUGCACUUUUCUCCAUAGAUUGUGCAGCACACCACCCUCACCAUUCCCAACAUCCUUUGCUCCCACCAGAUGUACAAAUUCACUCUCUGCUCCACAGUGACAAAUACAGAACUGUGUAAAAGUCUUAGGCACCCUAGCUAUAUAUAUGUGCCCAAGACUUUUGCACAGUACUGUACUUAUUAUUAUUUCUUUUGUCUUUGCACAGUUUGCUGUCUUUUGUACACUGGUUGUUGGUCUGCUCUGUAGGGUGCGAUCUUUUAUUGAUUCCAUCAUGAUUCUUGGAUUUACUGAGUAUGCCCACAAGAAAACUAAUCACAGAGUAGUAUACGGUGACAUAUAUAUACUUAGUUAAUACAUUUACUUUGAAGUUUGAAAACAGAAAAAUGUAGAUUGAUAUAAAUAAUAUAUUCAAUAAAGAUUGAAGAGAAGCAAUGUAAGAAAUAAUAAACAUGAGAUUCUGCAGAUGCUAGAAAUCCAGAGCAACACACAAAAAAUGCUGGAGGAACUCAGCAGGUCAGGCAGCAUCUAUGGAAAUGAAUAAACACACAAACUGCUGGAUGCUGCCCGACCUGCUGAAUUUUGCAUGGGUUGCAAUGGAAGAAAUAGUUUGCUAUGAUCAGUUGCAGCUCCACUGUUACCACAGCAAGCGCCACCAGGGAGACAGAAGUUGAACAAGAUGGAGCUUUGUUGUCUCCUGACUAGCAACCUGAUGGAAAUGAGAUAACUUAUGACACAUCUGCUCUCUGCAUCCCUCGUCUGUCAAGGCAAAUGGUGCCCUCCAAUAGGUGUG